rnacentral:rRNA from 1 species
GAUGAACGCUAGCUACAGGCUUAACACAUGCAAGUCGAGGGGCAGCACAGUGUAGCAAUACAUGGGUGGCGACCGGCGCACGGGUGCGUAACGCGUAUCCAACCUUCCCGUUACUCAGGGAUAGCCUUCCGAAAGGGAGAUUAAUACCUGAUGGUGUUUGAAUUCCGCAUGUUAUUCAAACUAAAGAUUCAUCGGUAACGGAUGGGGAUGCGUGACAUUAGAUAGUAGGCGGGGUAACGGCCCACCUAGUCUACGAUGUCUAGGGGUUCUGAGAGGAAGGUCCCCCACACUGGAACUGAGACACGGUCCAGACUCCUACGGGAGGCAGCAGUGAGGAAUAUUGGUCAAUGGACGCAAGUCUGAACCAGCCAUGCCGCGUGCAGGAUGACGGCUCUAUGAGUUGUAAAACUGCUUUUGUAUGAGGGUAAAAUUGGGUACGUGUACCCAACUGCAAGUAUCAUACGAAUAAGGAUCGGCUAACUCCGU